UACAGGAGGGCAAGCGUUGUCGGAAUUAUCGUGGCGUAAAGAGCUUGUAGGCGGUUUGUCGCGUCUGCUGUGAAAUUUCGGGGCUCAACCCCGAACUUGCAGUGGGUACGGGCAGACUAGAGUGUGGUAGGGGAGACUGGAAUUCCUGGUGUAGCGGUGAAAUGCGCAGAUAUCAGGAGGAACACCGAUGGCGAAGGCAGCACUCUGGGACGUGACUGACGCUGAGACGCGAAAGCGUGGGAGCAAACAGGAUAGAAACCUAGUAG
rnacentral:rRNA from 1 species